GGAAGUGACGUCGCCUUGAUGAGAUCACAUGAUUAGUAUAGGGUUAUGGUUACUGUAGUUCGUACGUGAACACCGGUCUCCGGGGAAUUCUGAGGAUCUUUCAUGGCGUUAUGAUCGGUGGGGGUCCUUUCUCUGAGCACAGGACUAUCAGGAAGCACUAGAACAGCACUGGAACAACAGAAGAUUUAACGGUUGUUCUCUGUCUAAAUGCUGAUUGAUGGGUGCUGACCACUGGGACCCCACAGAAACGCUCUGGAAUGAGGAUACUGGAUGACCCCCCUCAAUUUCUUUUAAAAUGCUUACAAGUAAACAAUUGAAUAAAAGUUAACCCCUUUUUGCACUUUAGUUUUUUUCUCUCAGUGUCAGACCACUUCUGUCUCCCCCUGUAAACAAUG